ensembl:lncRNA
AGCUUCUCUGGGCAGCCUGUCACUGCAGUUCACCACCCUCUGAAUGAGAAAUUUCCCCUUAACAUCUAAGCUGGAGGGCAAUCUUCUUCAUCCUGGCACUGGGCAGACAAGUUAGGAAAAGGAUACUUGAGCAUUAACUAGCAGAAUGACUGGAGGAAACCUGCACCACACAAAGUCUGCGUGAUGGUGACAAGGCAAUGUUUUAGAACAUGGAAAUGAACAGAAGGAAGAAAAUCAAGCAGAUACUCUGUGAAUUCACAGUCCUGAAGUUACUUGCUUGUUGCUGAGCUUCAGUAGCACUGGCAAGCUCUUGGGCUGAUGCUUGGUAUUUCUUCUGGAGCUUUUGCCUCAGUAGAAAAGUCAGGACAGAAGUUUAGAAAUGUUGUUCUUCCACUAAGGAAGUGUCCAGGGCUACUGGUGCUCUGGACAUUGGAAGCCAAAAGAAAGAUUUAACGGAAUUGAGCUCUUACUUGACCAUAGCAUGUGCUUUAUUUUACCACCACACGUGUGAAGACAUACCUACUGCCUCACUGGAUCAAUAUCUUAGUGGGAGAACUUGGGAAGCAUACCUGAUUCUCUGUUUUUAGUCAGCUGUGAUCAAACUGUUGCCUACUGCAUGAGUCUUAAAAACAGUGGCCUCUACUACUUAACAUACUUGAGUUAGCUGCACAGUUUUUUAAUAUAGAUGGAAAAUAAAAGGAUAUUCGGGAGAUUAUGACACUAGUUUGCAAAACUAGAGCAAAUCUAACAAAACUUUUGUCCAAAAGUCUACAGGUUUAGCAUCAAUUACUUGAGAAAUAAUGAAUAAGCAGCAAAUGUUACGUAGAAAGAAGUAACAUGUAGGCAAUACAAAGUGGAUUUGGGAGCAUCACCAUAAACAUUUUGGACCAGAUCAUUGGAUUACAGAUGGCUCUUUACAGAACAAUGCAUGUGGCUGAAUAUUGAAUGCUGUUGUUUACAACCCUCUUUCCAGACAUUCAUGACUCAUUUUUGAGAGAAACAGAUUAUUCUUAGAGCAACAUGAAGCAGAAUGGUGGAAUACUAGCAGAGCCCUUUUCGCCUUAGUAAAGACAUUUGAUCAGGGGCAAUAGCAUUGUCUUAAGAGGUAUAAUCAUAUGCAUAUGCAGAUAUAUAUUUUAAUGAAUCAUAUACUAUGUCAUUCUCUUUCUUCAUUUCUCUCUUGCAGGGGAGAAGAUGGAGGUUCUACUCACAAGUUCUUUAGACUGCUUUGUAAAUGCAACUGUCACUUCAUAUUUUAUUUUCUAAAAUAAUUAUUCCAUACUACUAACAAUCUCUUAUUACAAUUUUUAUAAGAUAUGUCCCGUAUCACCUAACUUUUCUUUCAACCAGCAAUUAUACCUCUUGGCUAGGAUGCCAUGAUCACACUGAAACAGAUGCUCAAAGUACGUGGAGUGGGUUGCCCCCUGGAGUUCCCUGUCUGCAUUACCUCUGGAGGGAGCCAAAAUCACUAGUUCAUGUCAUUACAUGGGUUAUUUUAGAUGGUCAGCAACUCUUCUCUAUCAACAAAGACUUGAUGUUCAGCAACUUUGAAAAGUAGGUGUAUAAUGUGGUGAAUUGCACUGUUUAGUCUGAAUUCCUGUCAUGUGAAUACAAAGUUGCCAGGUAGCUAUAUUGGAGUUUGUCAAGUCCUUUGAAAUCCUGAACACACAUGCUACAGUCAAGCAGUUUCAUCUUCAUUUUCAUGUAAUCUUCGGAUUUCUAAUACUUAUAUUACUGUCUGUUUGUUAUAUCUGACAGCUACAAACUGCUGUCCCCACUGCUGGCAAGAAUGCUAACUAGGUUAUAAGCUUAUACCUAGCAAACUCUAUUGUUUGUAGCUAAUGUAUUUCAAGCAAUAUAUAUAUAUAUUUAGUCCUACUACCAUAUCUUGCCAUCAGGAGUUGGUGUAGGAGGGGAUUUAGCGUGGUUUGUGCAGUGCACACUGGACAGUCUGAAUUUUUCACUUCUGAUUUACCCUGGCCAAACUCUUUAGUAAAAGUCUUUCCUUUAACUGUUCCUUGGAGAGUUCCUUGGAGAGGAAGAGUUUUUGCUUGAGAUACAGUAAGCUUGACAACACAGGAUUAUUACAGAUGUCCUGAGGUUUGUAUUUGUCCACCCUUGCACCUGAGAUCCACAAUUUGGAUCAGAGGCAUUUUUAUGUUUGUAUAUUUACCUUCACCUUACAGUAGAAUAAAUAGAAUAUUUGAAU